rnacentral:rRNA from 1 species
AUACGGAGGAUGCGAGCGUUAUCCGGAUUUAUUGGGUUUAAAGGGUGCGUAGGCUGUGCGUUAAGUCAGGGGUGAAAUGCCGUCGCUCAACGACGGAGCUGCCCUUGAUACUGGCGUGCUGGAGUACGGAUGCCGUUGGAGGAAUGAGUGGUGUAGCGGUGAAAUGCUUAGAUAUCACUCAGAACACCGAUUGCGAAGGCAUCUGACGAAUCCGUCACUGACGACGAGGCACGAAAGCGUGGGGAUAGAACAGGAUUAGAUACCCUGGUAUUCCACGCCGUAAACGAUGAUGACUAACCGUCGGCGAUAGACAGCCGGUGGCCAAGCGAAAGCGAUAAGUCAUCCACCUGGGGAGUACGUCGGCAACGAUGAAACUUAAAGGAAUUGACGGGG